rnacentral:rRNA from 1 species
GACGAACGCUGGCGGCGUGCUUAACACAUGCAAGUCGAACGGAAAGGCCCUGCUUUUGUGGGGUGCUCGAGUGGCGAACGGGUGAGUAACACGUGAGUAACCUGCCCUUGACUUUGGGAUAACUUCAGGAAACUGGGGCUAAUACCGGAUAGGAGCUCCUGCUGCAUGGUGGGGGUUGGAAAGUUUCGGCGGUUGGGGAUGGACUCGCGGCUUAUCAGCUUGUUGGUGGGGUAGUGGCUUACCAAGGCUUUGACAGGUAGCCUGCCUGAGAGGGUGACCGGCCACAUUGGGACUGAGAUACGGCCCAGACUCCUACGGGAGGCAGCGGUGGGGAAUAUUGCACAAUGGGCGGAAGCCUGAUGCAGCAACGCCGCGUGCGGGAUGACGGCCUUCGGGUUGUAAACCGCUUUCGCCUGUGACGAAGCGUGAGUGACGGUACUGGGUAAAGAAGCACCGGCUAACUACGUG